rnacentral:rRNA from 1 species
GGUGAACGCUGGCGGUAGGCCUAACACAUGCGAGUCGAACGGCAGCACAGUAAGAGCUUGCUCUUACGGGUGGCGAGUGGCGGACGGGUGAGGAAUACAUCGGAAUCUACUUUUUCGUGGGGGAUAACGUAGGGAAACUUACGCUAAUACCGCAUACGACCUACGGGUGAAAGCAGGGGAUCUUCGGACCUUGCGCGAUUGAAUGAGCCGAUGUCGGAUUAGCUAGUUGGCGGGGUAAAGGCCCACCAAGGCGACGAUCCGUAGCUGGACUGAGAGGAUGAUCAGCCACACUGGAACUGAGACACGGUCCAGACUCCUACGGGAGGCAGCAGUGGGGAAUAUUGGACAAUGGGCGCAAGCCUGAUCCAGCCAUACCGCGUGGGUGAAGAAGGCCUUCGGGUUGUAAAGCCCUUUUGUUGGGAAAGAAAAGCAGCAGGUUAAUACCCCGCUGUUCUGACGGUACCCAAAGAAUAAGCACCGGCUAACUUCGUG